rnacentral:rRNA from 1 species
GACGAACCGUGCGAACGUUAUUCGGAAUUACUGGGCUUAAAGCGCGUGUAGGCGGAUCGUUAAGUGUCUUGUGAAAUCCCACGGCUCACCCGUGGAACGGCUGGGCAUACUGGCGAUCUUGGGCCAACUAGGGGCAACUGGAACAAGCGGUGGAGCGGUGAAAUGCGUAGAUAUCGCUUGGAACGCCAAAGGUGAAAACAGGUUGCUGGGGUUGUGCCGACGCUGAGACACGAAAGCCAGGGGAGCAAACGGG